UAUAAGGGAUUUUCAGUUUUUGCUUGCAACGUUUGACCACUCGUCUUAUUCAAAUUUUUUUGCAAAUAUAAAAUACGAAAAGUUGUGCUUAAAGUACUGUAGAUAAUAAAGUAAGUCACAAAUAAAAUAAUUAAUAAUUUCAAAAAAUUUUAAAUAAGACGAGUGGUCAAACGUUGCAAGCAAAAACUCAAAAUCCCUUAUA
rfam:Oryza sativa Japonica Group DNA, chromosome 6, cultivar: Nipponbare, complete sequence.